rnacentral:rRNA from 1 species
CCUGGCGGCAAUGCCGGAGAUGUCACACCCGUUCCCAUCCCGAACACGGAAGUUAAGCUCUCCAGGGCCGAUGGUACUGUAGGCGCAAGCCUGUGGGAGAGUAGGUCGCUGCCGGGG